rnacentral:misc_RNA from 1 species
GGGAUAUAUUAUAUCCCAAAAGUUUCUAAGCUAAGGUUCGAACCAUUCUUCAUUUGUGUAUAAGGUCAUAUCGUGUGAUUUGUGAAUUAUUCUUGGGGGUUAAUGUCAAUUAUUUAGUGUGUGAAUGAAUUUGGUUAUGAACUAAGGUUACUAGAAUUCCUCUAGCACAAAGUUUGACUGAAGGCUUCUUUGUCGAUUGAGUUUUGAUAUAAGAUUC